ACCGGCGCACGGGUGCGUAACGCGUAUGUAACCUGCCUCACACUGGGGGAUAGCCUUCCGAAAGGGAGAUUAAUACCGCAUAAUAUUGUUUAUCUGCCUGGAUAGACAAUUAAAGCUUCGGUGGUGUGAGAUGGACAUGCGUAUGAUUAGCUAGUUGGCGGGGUAACGGCCCACCAAGGCGACGAUCAUUAGGGGUUCUGAGAGGAAGAUCCCCCACACUGGUACUGAGACACGGACCAGACUCCUACGGGAGGCAGCAGUGAGGAAUAUUGGUCAAUGGGCGAAAGCCUGAACCAGCCAUGUCGCGUGCAGGAAGACGGCCCUAUGGGUUGUAAACUGCUUUUGUAUGGGAAGAAACGACGGUACGAGUACUGUUUUGCCGGUACCAUACGAAUAAGGAUCGGCUAACUCCGUGCCAGCAGCCGCGGUAAUACGGAGGAUCCAAGCGUUAUCCGGAUUUAUUGGGUUUAAAGGGUGCGUAGGCGGGAGAUUAAGUCAGUGGUGAAAGUUUGCGGCUCAACCGUAAAAUUGCCAUUGAUACUGGUUUUCUUGAGUACAGUUGAGGUAGGCGGAAUGUGGUGUGUAGCGGUGAAAUGCUUAGAUAUACCACAGAACACCGAUUGCGAAGGCAGCUUACUAAGUUGUGACUGACGCUGAAGCACGAAAGCAUGGGGAUCAAACAGGAUUAGAUACCCUGGUAGUCCAUGCC
rnacentral:rRNA from 1 species